rnacentral:rRNA from 1 species
UACAGAGGUCCCAAGCGUUGUCCAGAAUUAUUGGGCGUAAAGAGCUCGUAGGCGGUCUGUUGCGUCCGCUGUGAAAACUCGGGGCUUAACCCCGAGCCUGCAGUGGAUACGGGCAGACUAGAGGUAGGUAGGGGAGAAUGGAAUUCCCGGUGUAGCGGUGAAAUGCGCAGAUAUCGGGAAGAACACCCGUGGCGAAGGCGGCUCUCUGGGACGGUACUGACGCUGAGACGCGAAAGCGUGGGGAGCGAACAGG